rnacentral:tRNA from 1 species
GGAGCGGUAGUUCAGUUGGUUAGAAUACCUGCCUGUCACGCAGGGGGUCGCGGGUUCGAGCCCCGUCCGUUCCGCCACCC